AGCACAUAUAAAGGCAGGGAUAUGGCUUGCAAGUUUCUACCAUCGAACCGUAAAUUUGAUGAAUAUGGGCA
rnacentral:ncRNA from 1 species